rnacentral:rRNA from 1 species
GUGGGGAAUAUUGGGCAAUGGGCGAAAGCCUGACCCAGCAACGCCGCGUGAAGGAAGAAGGUUUUCGGAUCGUAAACUUCUAUCCUUGGUGAAGAUAAUGACGGUAGCCAAGAAGGAAGCCCCGGCUAACUACGUGCCAGCAGCCGCGGUAAUACGUAGGGGGCAAGCGUUGUCCGGAAUGAUUGGGCGUAAAGGGCGCGUAGGCGGCCUGGUAAGUCUGGAGUGAAAGUCCUGCUUUUAAGGUGGGAAUUGCUUUGGAUACUGUCGGGCUUGAGUGCAGGAGAGGUAAGUGGAAUUCCCGGUGUAGCGGUGAAAUGCGUAGAGAUCGGGAGGAACACCAGUGGCGAAGGCGACUUACUGGACUGUAACUGACGCUGAGGCGCGAAAGUGUGGGGAGCAAACAGGAUUAGAAACCCGAGUAGUCC